GGACUCUUUAGUUGAGGCACAUGGGCUUAGUUUCAGCUCAUAAACUUCGCUAUUCCUUGACAUGUGGAAUCUUAGUUACCCGACCAGGUAUCAAAAUUGCAUCCCCUGCAUUCCUGCUGCUGCUGCUGCAAAGUCGCUUCAGUUGUGUCCUACUCUGUGCAACCCCAUAGACGACAGCCCGCCAGGCUCCCCUGUCCCUGGGAUUCUCCAGAUUUCAAGAAGGCUGCUGUGCCUCUGUCCAUCACAUCUGUGUUCCAGGCAGAACAUGAAGGUAAAUGCAAAAGGCUGAAGAAUAUCAGCUGAGUCUAUCUCUUUAAAAAAAAAGAAGAAGAAGAAUUUUUCUGGUUCUGGGGAAUGAACAAAACAGACAAAAUCCUUGUGGAGAUGACACUGCAGUGAAAGCCUUCAGGGAAAUCUACAGCUGAAGGGCUUACGGUCCUCACGUGCUCUACGGCUCCACGGCUGCUCCUUGGAGGUUGCACCACUGAUUUAGGUGGAAGUGGCACCUCCUCCCGCCCCUCACGGCGGAGUCUCCGCCCAGUCACAACCAGCAGCGUGGACCCUGGCCCUGUCAGCGCACCAGGCUCCCUUGAAAGUGAAAGGACCUGGGGUUCCUUCCUACUUCGUCUCUUCCGCAUCUUCCCGGCACCGCCCACCGGCAACUAGUUUGGGCCCC
ensembl:lncRNA